UAAACUAGGAUUAGAUACCCUAUUAUUUUGAAUGUAAAUUAAAAUACUAAAUUAUUAAUAGAUAUAUUCUUUAAAAUUAAAUAAUUUGGCGGUACUUUAGUCUAUUCAGAGGAACCUGUUUUUUAAUCGAUGAUCCACGAUUUGGUGUACUUUAUUUUUUAGUUUGCAUAUCGUUGUAGGUUGAAUAUUUUAUUAGAAUUUAAAUGUUCAGGAUUUAUCAUUAUAGUGAAAAUCAGAUCAAGGUGUAAUUUAUGGUAAAGUAAAGAUGGGUUAUAAUUAAGUAAUUAUAGGAAAGCUUUUUUUAAAGAGGCUUGAAUUUAGAUUUGAAAGUAAUUUUAAAGAAAUUUUUAAGAUGAUUUAAGCUCUAAAGUAUGCACACAUCGCCCGUCGCUCUUAA
rnacentral:rRNA from 1 species